CCACUAGCCCAGUCUCCUUGCCAUGGCUUCAGACACCAGGGAUCCCAGGGAGCCGGCACUGGUCUCAGCUCCAACAGGGAACACAAAUGGAAUUGAUCAAAGGUGCUUCUAGAGUUAGUCAAAGCUGUUCUGAGUCCUGCCUGCAACAGUCUUAAAGAUCUUGUCCCCUUCAUCUAUUCAGCUUGCACUUCCCACUUUUUCAUUUGCCCCAAACACUCUGACGUUAACCCUUUUAUAGCCACAGAAACGCAAGAAAAGAUAUUGUUCUCCAACGCGUUGCUGCCUAUUGUGCUUUGUCAAAAAAGAGGGGGGCGAUGACACUUCGAAAAAUAUAUAGUCUUUUUUUUCCUUU